UACCAAUUGUUGCCUCGGCGGAUCAGCCCGCUCCCGGUAAAACGGGACGGCCCGCCAGAGGACCCCUAAACUCUGUUUCUAUAUGUAACUUCUGAGUAAAACCAUAAAUAAAUCAAAACUUUCAACAACGGAUCUCUUGGUUCUGGCAUCGAUGAAGAACGCAGCAAAAUGCGAUAAGUAAUGUGAAUUGCAGAAUUCAGUGAAUCAUCGAAUCUUUGAACGCACAUUGCGCCCGCCAGUAUUCUGGCGGGCAUGCCUGUUCGAGCGUCAUUUCAACCCUCAAGCCCAGCUUGGUGUUGGGACUCGCGAGUUAAACCGCGUUCCCCAAAUUGAUUGGCGGUCACGUCGAGCUUCCAUAGCGUAGUAGUAAAACCCUCGUUACUGGUAAUCGUCGCGGCCACGCCGUUAAACCCCAACUUCUGAAUGUUGACCUCGGAUCAGGUAGGAAUACCCGCUGAACUUAAGCAUA
rnacentral:rRNA from 1 species